GCAGGAGAAGCGGGCCGAGGAUGCAGAGUUAUCUCGUAAACGCUCUCUGUAAACCAAUAAGUGCCAAACCUAUGCGCACUGACUUCGAACUCGCUGCCUAGGCAGUAGUUCAGUCCGUCAGCCCGGGGGCGCCCUCGCCCCGUCAGCUGGCGUCAUUUAGAGGGCCACUGCCCUAAGCCCGGGCCGUAGCGGCUUAGGGGACAUUCAUACGGCUGGGCCCGGAUCAGCCACCGCGUUUGCGCAGAUGGCCGGGGCCGAGAAAAUCCGACGCAAACUGCGCCCGGAGAAGUCCUGGCAACACAACAUCGGACGGGGGUUCAAUUCCCCCCAUCUCCACCA
rnacentral:tmRNA from 1 species